rnacentral:rRNA from 1 species
CGGCAGCGGGAGGAGCUUGCUUCCUCGCCGGCGAGCGGCGGACGGGUGAGUAAAGUCUGGGGAUCUGCCCGAUGGAGGGGGAUAACCACUGGAAACGGUGGCUAAUACCGCAUAACGUCGCAAGACCAAAGUGGGGGACCUUCGGGCCUCACACCAUCGGAUGAACCCAGAUGGGAUUAGCUAGUAGGUGGGGUAAUGGCUCACCUAGGCGACGAUCCCUAGCUGGUCUGAGAGGAUGACCAGCCACACUGGAACUGAGACACGGUCCAGACUCCUACGGGAGGCAGCAGUGGGGAAUAUUGCACAAUGGGCGCAAGCCUGAUGCAGCCAUGCCGCGUGUGUGAAGAAGGCCUUCGGGUUGUAAAGCACUUUCAGCGAGGAGGAAGGUGGUGAGCUUAAUACGCUCAUCAAUUGACGUUACUCGCAGAAGAAGCACCGGCUUAACUCCGUGCCAGCAGCCGCGGUAAUACGGAGGGUGCAAGCGUUAAUCGGAA